AGUUCAGUCGGUAGAACGGUGGACUGUUAAUCCAUAUGUCGCAGGUUCGAGUCCCGCA
rnacentral:tRNA from 1 species